UUCAGAGUGAUUUUGGGGGAGAAUUUAGACCAUUUAGUAACUUCCUAAAGUCUUUAGGAAUUACUCAUAGAAUUUCAUGCCCCCAUGCUCACCAUCAACAAGGAACGGUUGAGCGGAAACAUCGACAUAUUGUCGAAACGGGUCUAACACUUUUAGCUCAUGCUAAGCUUCCCAUAUCCUAUUGGGACCAUGCCUUUCUCACAGCUGUCUACCUGAUAAACAGGUUACCCACUCCGGUUUUGUCUUACAAAAGCCCCUAUCAAAUUCUAUUUGGUCAUAAACCGAAUUAUUCCAAUCUUCGUGUCUUCGGUUGCUCAUGUUUCCCACAUCUUAGGCCCUUUAAUAGGCACAAAUUGGACUUUAGGAGUAUGGAGUGUAUAUUCC
rnacentral:lncRNA from 1 species